UCCAGAUUCUGUCUCCCUUUCUCUCUGCCCCUCCCCACCUUACACUCUGUCUCUGUCUGUCUCAAAAAUAAAUAAACAUUAAAAAUCUUUUUAAAAAAACAAACAAAAAAUCUUAACUCUAACUCUCCAAGAUGCAAAUCCCUCCUGCUUCCCCCUCCCCCCUUUUUUCCCCACUGGGCCAUGUUUAUAAUCUAAAAUCCCAAUUGCAGCUAAAAAAUUGAUAUAACUCGUACCCUGGAACCUGAUUACCUAAAGCACAAAAGUAUUCAUUCCAUUAGUUAGUUUACUAACUAGUUUGCUGAAUUGUGGUUUGUGUCUUGUGUAUUUUAUUAAAAGAAACUUAAAGAAAAAAAUGCUAAAGAGAACUUACACUGGGUCUAUAAGAAAAAAAGUCUGGAUCUUAACAAGCAAUUUUGUAAUUGUCUUUGACUCAAGGUGGCUGCAAAAUGCUUACAAUACACAUGUGCAUACUUAACUCAUGUAAGACAAAAACCCUUUGUUCCUCAAGUUCUUAAAAAAAAGGUGUGAUGUUCAUUUGCUACACCCCCCCCCCAUUUUUUUUUAACUUGGCUUACACUCUUAACUGGCAGUUUGCAAAAGGAGGAAACUUAGCAACCUACUCGACAAAGUUUAGAAUAGCUUCAAUUAAAAGUCAUCUAAAAAUAAAAAUAAAACCUCCUUUUCUUUUCUAAGAGCAAAUUUAAAUACUUGGGUGUCACUUAUGCUACCAUGCUUCUAUGAUGUUUGUCUGCCUAUAAAGUGCUCUAUUAAAUAAGUCAGAUAUAUUUUUUAAAUUUAAAAUCUCUUUUAGACUCCACCAAAAUCUCUUUUAAGGAGUCCUUGAGAGCCUAGCAGGAGAGUUAACAAGGUUAUUCUGGUAACUGAUCUAAAUUAUCAUCAGUGGGAAUUAAAUAAAAGGAAUCCACAGAUCAAAUAUCUGACUAUCAAAAGGCAAUCACAGAAUUUUAUACAGAUCUAGGGUACUUAUAAAGUUAUUGACCCAGGGGGCUUGUGAAGAGUGGUAAGCUUUCUUGUAUGGAUUGAAGCCAUGCGAUACAGUGCAAAAUUCUGCAUGAUGCUAAAAGUAGUUACCCCUGAGCAAAAAAAAAAUUAAAACUAGGGUACAAGGGACAAAAUCCAACCAAAAUAAGUAAAAUAUGAGAAAGAAUUAAAUUUGUUGAUAAUUUCGUUGUAUGGGUGAAUGAUGAUGAAUAAGAUAAUAGGUAAUCUUGAGUCACUCAACUUUUUUUAAAAUUUCUUUUCAAUGUUUAUUUAUUUUUGAGAGAGAAACAGAGCACAAGCAGGGGAAGGGCAGAGAGGGAGACACAGAAUCUGACGCAGGCUCCAGGCUCUGAGCUGUCAGCACAGAGCCGGAUGCGGGGCUUGAACCCAUGAGCAGUGAGAUCAUGACCUGAGGCAAAGUCGGAGGCUUAACCGACUGAGUCACGCAGGUGCCUCUUAAGCCACUCAACUUCUAAAAUUAGAAGUCUGCAAGUAGCAAGGCAAAACAAAGUUCUGUACAUACUGGCUGUCUGAUAUCCCAAGUGACAUCUCAAGUUCUGUGAAUAGAGUAAACUUUCCUUCUUACCCAAGACAGUGAGGUCCAUAGAACAUUUUUAUGAUGAUGGAAAUGUUUAAUAUCUGCACUAUCCACUAUCCAACAGUCACACACAGGUAGUGAGCACUGGAAAUGUGACAGUAUAACUGAAGACCUUUGUUUUUACUUAUAGUUAAUUUUAUUAAUUUAAAUAUAAGUUUAAAUAGCUACACAUGGCUAGUGGCUAACAUAUGGGACAGUGUAUUUUCAAAAUUAUAAAAAACAUAAUAAAUACCUAAUUCUAUGAACAUAUUUCUAUUACUUUAUUUCUUUUUUCUUUUUUGAAUGUUUACUUAUUUUUGAGAGAGAGAGAGACAGACAGACAGAGCGAGCUGGGGAGGAGCAGAGAGAGAGAGGGAGACACAGAAUCUGAAGCAGGCUCCAGGCUCCGAGCUGUCAGCACAGAGUCCGCGGGGUUCAGAACUCUCAAGCUGUGAACCUGAGCCAAAGUUGCACAUUUAACUGACCAAGCCACCCAGGCGCCCCUCUAUUUCUUUAAAUCUUGCUCAAAAUAGUAUAUAUUAUCACUUUAUUUAAUAUUGUAAAAUAUCAUUGAAUAGAUCACAUACUAACCUUGGUUUUCUCACUAUAUGUUUAUCUGGUCAAAACUAUUAAGUUUGUUAACUCUUACUUGGAGAAGCUAUCAAGGUAUCAGAACAGUGAGAAAAAGAAAACCACCUUUUCCACAAAACUGAGUGUACACAGUAAGAACCAAUGAAAGGUCCAUCUCUUAAAUUAUUUUCAGAAUCUCCCUGAGGACAUUGUGAGUCUUGCCUUUUUCGGAGUCCAUUUAUUUCACCUUGAUAGUUCUUGCACCUUUUGCCUUAUAUAAUGCCUAAGACCAGGCAACUUCUCUCUUAAUUGCCUCAGGGUGAGUAGGUCCUUUCCUUUCCUAACAGUACUCUCUAGAAUAUGGGAGUCAAAGGCACAGUGAGCUGACUGACCCCUUACUGUAACCCUUGAUGGCUGUCAAGAUUGACAUUGACAGGUGCCUCUUUUGUUUCAGUGCUUUCCUAUGCUCCGGCUUGAUUUUUUUAAAAAUACUUAUUUAUUUUUGAGAAAGAGAGGAAGAGAGAGGGAGAGAGCGGGGAGGGACAAAGAGAGAGGGGGACAGAGGAUCUGAAGUGGGCUCCACACUAACAGCAGAAAGCCCGAUGCAGGGCUCGAACUCACAAACCUUGAGAUCAUGACCUGAGCCGAAGUCAGAUGCUGAACCGUCUGAACCACCCAGGCGCCCCUUGGCUUGAUUCUUUGACUCCGGUUUCCCCACUUCUACUCCCUCUUUCUUUCACCCUGCUGGUGGGAUUUCCCCAAGACUUACUACUGGAUUAUGCAGACAAAUACAUGGGAUUAUAGAAAGGAAGCAGACUCACGUUUGGUGCUCAUUUCAUGGAAAAAAGCAACCUGGUGAACUUCUUUCCAUUUUCUUACAGACUAAGCCUCUGUUUAAGAUACCAUUGAUUAAUACUUAAGCACUUAUGUUUCAAUUGUUGCUCUGCUUCCAGAAUAAGCAAAAAAUUACCCAUUUCUCUGAAGACUGCAUACUUUUCCAGGCAAAAGAAGUGUGCUUCCUUAGAUAUUUAAAGGCUUCAUCUUUCUUGAAGGCCACUGUGCUGCAGCUUUUCAACACUCAGGAUGGGGAAGAACAGAAAUUGUUCAGUAGUGCUGCAACUUCCCUCCACUGGAAACUUGGACUUCCACAAAGGCCUUCCUGUCCAUAGAUGAUGGUCUAUGAGGUGUUUUCCAGGGAUUCCCAGACUGUAGCCAUGAGGGGCUAGAGUGGUUUACAGGCCACUACAGGACCCACAACUGGAACUGAGGUCUGUAUGCCUAUUACCUGACCCACAGGUGGGUGAGACUCCCUCAGGUCCCUUAGUGAAUUGUGCCAUUUGCACAGUUCCCCACAAAGGCACUCUUGUCUGUGGAUGGAUGCCUAAUUGUUGUCAUUAGGAGGAGAUAGAAAUAUGAAUGAGAAAUGUCUUAUUUAAGCUGUCCCUGUGUUAAAAAAGUUUAGGGACCAUGCAUACUUUUUUUUUUUUAUCCCUAUAUUUAACAAUGCUGAGAAUAAGAAUAAAAAUAACUUAGCUGCUUACUCCAGGAAAUGCCUUCUCCUGAAAGAAAAGACUCUGAACCAGCAAAAGUAGCUUGCUCAUCAAAACUCACUUCAAGACCCUUGCUUCACUGGGCCCACCAAUCCAAUUAAACACUACCUGAUCCCAAGUAAUUCCUUGCCUUACCUCUCCAGACUCAAAAAUCAUCCAACUCAGGCCCUAAAACACUAAUAAAUAUCAUUCCCGAAUUUACCCAUUUUGAGACACUACUAAAGCUCUGCUAAAUUGGUAUUCUUCCUUGGCUUUACUUGGCCAACUGGUUAUUCUGGUGGCCUUUUAGGGAAGCUGACACCUGAGAAUGAGACAGUGUACCCUCUGAAGAACCUGGUUCUACAGUGAGUUGACAAAAUGAGAAUGUUGUCAUUCCAGGAAAAAAAUUGAGCUCUUUACUAGUUUAGCCACUGACAGCAUGGAAAGUCAAAUUCCUCCAACAGAAUCAUAAAUCUCGGGAUUCAAGAAGGCUUGAAAUUUAUCUAGUUCAAUCCAUCUGCUUGGUACAGAUGGAGAAGAAGCUCAAAUUUGAGCUCAAAUUAGAGUAAAUUUUAGAGACUCCUUCAGUACAACAAAGAGUUUUGGGAUUCCUCUCUACUCUCUUAUCUUCCCUUUUCAAUCUCUUCUUUUCCCCAGCCUUAGGACACCUUGUCCCUGGUUUUCCUCUUUGCAGACAGCUAGAGAAAAGAUCAGGCCUCCAUUGUGUUUUGGUGGAGGGUGUCUGUGUUGCCACAGGGCUUGGUGCUGGGUGUUUCCAACAAAAAUGUAUUUUUAAAAUACCUCCCAUUCCAGGAAGCUAAAAUCUGGUUUCUAUUAUCUGAAAGGCCUCAUUAAAAGAUAAAUAUUGUCAUAUAUGCACCCGUAUUUUUGAAGCUGAAGGAAACUGACGGUUAAAUUUUGGGAGUUCAAUCUCAUAAACAAUGGAACAGGCUUUCUAGUAGUGUAGUCCUUCAGAUCUGCUGCAUUCUGAGAACUCUAGAAGAACUGAGGGAAAAAAAAGUAUUUUGUCUUGUCUUUACUAGAAAAAUAACUAGAUGGGAGGGUUCUGGAUUAGAGGUUUUUUUUGAACAUUUGUCUUUUAGCUAAUUUAUCCUUUUAAAAAUGUGAUUACCAGAUCCUUAGUAUGUGUCAAUUAGCUUGAGAUGUCAUUGACUUGAAAUAAAAAAUAUAUUUGAUAUA